AGGCCUAACACAUACAAGUCGAGCGGCAGCACAGAGGAGCUUGCUCCUUGGCUGACGAGCGGCGGACGGGUGAGUAAUGUCUGGGAAACUGCCUGAUGGAGGGGGAUAACUACUGGAAACGGUAGCUAAUACCGCAUAACGUCGCAAGACCAAAGAGGGGGACCUUCGGGCCUCUUGCCAUCAGAUGUGCCCAGAUGGGAUUAGCUAGUAGGUGGGGUAACGGCUCACCUAGGCGACGAUCCCUAGCUGGUCUGAGAGGAUGACCAGCCACACUGGAACUGAGACACGGUCCAG
rnacentral:rRNA from 1 species